GAUGAACGCUGGCGGCGUGCCUAAUACAUGCAAGUCGAGCGAACAGACGAGGAGCUUGCUCCUCUGACGUUAGCGGCGGACGGGUGAGUAACACGUGGAUAACCUACCUAUAAGACUGGGAUAACUUCGGGAAACCGGAGCUAAUACCGGAUAAUAUAUUGAACCGCAUGGUUCAAUAGUGAAAGACGGUUUUGCUGUCACUUAUAGAUGGAUCCGCGCCGCAUUAGCUAGUUGGUAAGGUAACGGCUUACCAAGGCAACGAUGCGUAGCCGACCUGAGAGGGUGAUCGGCCACACUGGAACUGAGACACGGUCCAGACUCCUACGGGAGGCAGCAGUAGGGAAUCUUCCGCAAAGGGCGAAAGCCUGACGGAGCAACGCCGCGUGAGUGAUGAAGGUCUUCGGAUCGUAAAGCUCUGUUAUUAGGGAAGAACAAAUGUGUAAGUAACUAUGCACGUCUUGACGGUACCUAAUCAGAAAGCCACGGCUAACUACGUG
rnacentral:rRNA from 1 species